rnacentral:rRNA from 1 species
CCUACGGGAGGCAGCAGUAGGGAAUAUUGCUCAAUGGAGGAAACCCUGAAGCAGCAACGCCGCGUGGAGGAUGAAGGUUUUCGGAUUGUAAACUCCUUUUGUUAGAGAAGAUAAUGACGGUAUCUAACGAAUAAGCACCGGCUAACUCCGUGCCAGCAGCCGCGGUAAUACGGAGGGUGCAAGCGUUACUCGGAAUUACUGGGCGUAAAGAGUGCGUAGGCGGGAUAGCAAGUCAGAGGUGAAAUCCUAAGGCUUAACCAUAGAACUGCAUUUGAAACUGUUAUUCUAGAGUAUGGGAGCGGUAGGCGGAAUGCUUGGUGUAGGGGUGAAAUGCUUAGAGAGCAGACAGAAUACAGAUUGCGAAGGCAGCUUGCUA